UUAGGUCGGCCAUAGCGUGAGGGAAACGCCCGGUCACAUUCCGAACCCGGAAGCUAAGCCUCACAGCGCCGAUGGUACUGCAGGGGGGACCCUGUGGGAGAGUAGGACACCGCCGGAC
rnacentral:rRNA from 1 species